UGCUCCCUGGCCCAGUUGGUUAAGGCACACGACUGUUAAACUCACCAAAUUGCUGGUAAUUUGAUGAUUAGGUGAUCGUGGGAUCGAGAGUUCGAGUCUCUCGGGAGCAG